rnacentral:rRNA from 1 species
UUUUUUAUUUUAUAUUNGACCCCGG